AGUAGAGACGGGGUUUCGCCAUGUUGGCCGGGCUGGUCUCAAACUCCUGACCUCGGGUGAUCCGCCCACCUCGGCCUCCCAAAGUGCUGUGGUUACAGGCGUGAGCCACCGCGCCCGGCAGAUAACUUGUGCUUUCGCAGAGGAAGAAUUGAGAUCAUUUGCGGAGAGUCUGAGGGUGGGGGUCGAGCAGGGCCCUCCAUAAUUCUGGAACACAGUCUGGGCUGACCAUUUCCCCAGCAACCACUCCUAGACCAGGAUUAUUGAAGGACUGUUAGACGCCAGCUGACUCUGGAGGCUGCAGAGCUAGCUAUGAUCUGUGCUGGGACUAAAACCUGGGUUCUGACUUCUGGUCUCAAGAUUUUCAUUCUGCUGAAUAGUGUAUAAAAAUGCAAUUGUU
rnacentral:lncRNA from 10 species